GUCUUUUUGNGAAUAAUUUAAAGUCAAAUCUGCCCACUGAAUUUAUUUAAAGGGCUGCAGUAUAUUGACUGUACAAAGGUAGCAUAAUCAUUAGUCUUUUAAUUGAAGACUUGUAUGAAUGAUUUGAUGAGAUAUAGACUGUCUCUUUAUUAAAAGUAGAAUUUAAUUUUUUAGUUAAAAAGCUAAAAUAUUUUUAAAAGACGAGAAGACCCUAUAGAGUUUUAUAUUUUAUUGAAUUUAAAUUUUAUAUAAAUUUUAAAAUUUAAAUUUAAUAAAAUAUUUUGUUGGGGUGAUAGAAAAAUUUAAUAAACUUUUUUUAAAAAAUUUACAUUAAUUUAUGAAUAUAUGAUCCAUAAUUUAUGAUUAUAAGAAUAAAUUACCUUAGGGAUAACAGCGUAAUUUUUUUUUUUAGUUCAAAUAAAAAUUAAAGUUUGCGACCUCGAUGUUGGAUUAAGAUAAAAUUUAAAUGCAAAAGUUUAAAAUUUUGAUCNGUUCNAUCAUUAAAAUCUUACA
rnacentral:rRNA from 1 species